GAAACGCUCGGACCGUCGGUUUGCCGAGCAAUGACACCCGCUCGGUGGAAGAUCUUCCCUCUGUCGU
rnacentral:pre_miRNA from 1 species